CAGGAGAACCUGCUCAGCUUGGAGGAGACCAUGAAGCAGCUGGAGGUGGGGCGGGACGGGCCAGGGGUGCCCUGAGUGGGCUGGGGAAGGAAGGGGCCCCCCUCAUCCAUGACCCCCACCCCACCAGGAGUUGGAGGAGGAAUUUUGCCGCCUGAGACCCCUCCUGUCUCAGCUUGGGGGGAACUCUGUCCCCCAGCCUGGCUGCACUUGAGGUUCCCGCCCAGGAAGGCCUUUUGCAAGAAGGAGAGGAAUGGGGGAGAGGACGUGAGGGACCACCCCCACCCACACAGCUGCCGCAGCAUCUCACACCCCGAGGGCCUGAGGAGAGGGAGCUGUGGGCCACGCCUGGGAGGGGCCCAGCUGGGGUUACUGGCCCCGCAUGAGCCUCGGCCAUCUCUCCCUCCUGCCCUCUGCUUGGGGGACUCAGGGCUCCAUUCUGGAGGGCACCACGGUGACCCGGGCCAUCUCAGUAUUGCCUGUGGGGGCCACCCCUCCACCCCCACCCCCAAGUGCCUUCGCUCUGUUUUUAUACCCUGAAUUGGAGGUUUAUUUUUUAAUAUAUAUUAUCUAAGAAGA
rnacentral:lncRNA from 1 species